UACGUAGGUGGCAAGCGUUGUCCGGAUUUACUGGGCGUAAAGAGCGCGCAGGCGGUCGUGCAAGUCGCGUGUGAAAGCCCCCGGCUCAACUGGGGAGGGUCACGCGAUACUGCUCGACUCGAAGGCAGGAGAGGGAAGUGGAAUUCCCGGUAUAGUGGUGAAAUGCGUAGAUAUCGGGAGGAACACCAGUGGCGAAGGCGACUUCCUGGCCUGUUCUUGACGCUGAGGCGCGAAAGCUAGGGUAGCAAACGGG
rnacentral:rRNA from 1 species